AACGUAGGAGGCGAGCGUUAUCCGGAUUUACUGGGUGUAAAGCGCGUGCAGGCGGUUCGCUAAGUUGGAUGUGAAAGCUCCCGGCUCAACUGGGAGAGGUCGUACAAGACUGGCGGGCUGGAGUGUGGUAAGGGAAGGUGGAAUUCCGGGUGUAGUGGUGAAAUGCGUAGAUAUCCGGAGGAACACCAGUGGCGAAAGCGGCCUUCUGGACCACAACUGACGCUCAGACGCGAAAGCUAGGGUAGCAAACGGGAUUAGAAACCCCCGUAGUCC
rnacentral:rRNA from 1 species